rnacentral:rRNA from 1 species
GACGAACGCUGGCGGCGUGCUUAACACAUGCAAGUCGAACGGUGAAGCGCCUUCCUUUUUGGUGGGUGUGGAUGAGUGGCGAACGGGUGAGUAACACGUGAGUAACCUGCCCCCUUCUUCUGGAUAACCGCAUGAAAGUGUGGCUAAUACGGGAUAUUCUGGGUCUGUCGCAUGAUGGGUCUGGGAAAGAUAUUGUUUCGGUGGGGGAUGGGCUCGCGGCCUAUCAGCUUGUUGGUGGGGUGAUGGCCUACCAAGGCGGUGACGGGUAGCCGGCCUGAGAGGGUGGACGGUCACACUGGGACUGAGACACGGCCCAGACUCCUACGGGAGGCGGCAGUGGGGAAUAUUGCACAAUGGGCGCAAGCCUGAUGCAGCGACGCCGCGUGAGGGAUGGAGGCCUUCGGGUUGUGAACCUCUUUCGCCAGUGAAGCAGGCCUGCCUCGUUUGUGGGUGGGUUGACGGUAGCUGGAUAAGAAGCGCCGGUUAACUACGUG